rnacentral:rRNA from 1 species
AACGAACGCUGGCGGCAGGCUUAACACAUGCAAGUCGAACGCCCCGCCAGGGGAGUGGCAGACGGGUGAGUAACGCGUGGGAACAUACCCUUUUCUACGGAAUAGCCCUGGGAAACUGGAAUUAAUACCGUAUACGCCCUACGGGGGAAAGAUUUUUCGGGGAAGACUUGGGCCGCGUUGGAUUAGCUAGUUGGUGGGGUAAAGGCCUACCAAGGCGACGAUCCAUAGCUGGUCUGAGAGGAUGAUCAGCCACAUUGGGACUGGGACACGGCCCAAACUCCUACGGGAGGCAGCAGUAGGGAAUAUUGGACAAUGGGCGCAAGCCUGAUCCAGCCAUGCCGCGUGAGUGAUGAAGGCCUUAGGGUUGUAAAGCUCUUUCACCGAUGAAGAUAAUGACGGUAGUCGGAGAAGAAGCCCCGGCUAACUUCGUG